UGGGGAAUCUUGCGCAAUGGGCGAAAGCCUGACGCAGCCAUGCCGCGUGUAUGAUGAAGGUCUUAGGAUUGUAAAAUACUUUCACCGGUGAAGAUAAUGACUGUAGCCGGAGAAGAAGCCCCGGCUAACUUCGUGCCAGCAGCCGCGGUAAUACGAAGGGGGCUAGCGUUGCUCGGAAUUACUGGGCGUAAAGGGAGCGUAGGCGGACAUUUAAGUCAGGGGUGAAAUCCCAGAGCUCAACUCUGGAACUGCCUUUGAUACUGGAUGUCUUGAGUGUGAGAGAGGUAUGUGGAACUCCGAGUGUAGAGGUGAAAUUCGUAGAUAUUCGGAAGAACACCAGUGGCGAAGGCGACAUACUGGCUCAUUACUGACGCUGAGGCUCGAA
rnacentral:rRNA from 1 species